rnacentral:piRNA from 1 species
UCCAAAGAUACCUCAGCCUUGUUUUUCCUA